UCAACUUUAUGAUAAUCCUUUCCUGGGAGGCCUGCAGUCUGGGUGACUUACACACCUGUAAGAGACAUAGGUACUGUCAACUGUAACCACCCAGUUUCUGUGAAUGAAGACUAAUAUUUUGCUCACCAAGAGGCAGGACAGAGAGCUGCAGCCCCAUUUUUUGUUUAUAUUACAACGGGUGAAAAAUCAAAGUGGCUUGUCCAGCUUUCUUUCCAUUUCAGGCUGAAUGUGGCUCUGAAUCUAGGUUAAGUCAAGGUCCCGACUUUGCUGAGUUUACUGGGUCUCCCCAAGAGCCACUCACCCCUCAGUAGUCGUUUCUCUUGCAAUAAGGCUCGCUGUGUACACUGAUCAGCCCACACCUUCCCCCACCAACAGGAAUAUCCUGGAACACUACCUUCAGCGCUCCGACACUCAGCAGUAUCCUGAAUGCUUGCUUAGCACCAUCCCAGAUGUCAAGGUUCUAGGGAAAACGUCACCAGUGGGUUUGGAAACCGGAGGAAGCAGGGCUCGUAAAGUGAUGGGGAAAUGGGGCCAGGGCUCAGGUGAAGGCACUGUCAUCACCUAGCGUCAUCAAACCGAGAAGGAGUUUGCCAGCCCAGGAGAUGAGUAAAACCUGAAGUUUGAGGAAGGGCAGAUGCAUCCUAUUGUGACUAGGGCCCAGCACGCCCCAAUCGUAGGCCACCUCAUGGCUUCCAAGAGGGAUUUGAGACGUAUAAAAGGUGUGCCAUCUCAGAGCAUCCCCAAAGCCUCAGCAUCUCCACGUUCCAGCCACUGGUGAACUCGGUGCACAUCCAGACCAGAAUGUAUCAGCAAACGCAGAAGCUGUGCUUCCCCCCUCCAAAGCAUUGCUGCCCACCAUCCCAGCAAUUCUGCCCCCCACCAAAGUAUUGCUGCCCCG